UAAUGUUAACAUAUUUAAUCUUUCACCAAAAUCAUAAACGAAAGGUUCAUAAUGUUCUAUUGUCUACACCUUUCUCCAUCCUCUAACCAAAGCAAUCCAACCUCAUUUGUUAGGUCUACAAUCACUUCAGCUUGCCAUCCCACAGUAAUCACGAUGGUCGAAAAAGGGACCCGCUUCAACCAUCAUGAACUUGGGCAUCAUAAGAAUCUUGGGUGACAAAGUUAUAGAAAAACCCAAUGUUGACCAGUAAUUAUUGGUAGGGCUCAUGCUAUGUACAUAGAUUCGGAAGAGCAAGGUUGACAGAACGGAGUUGGCAAAACAAUAAUUGGAAGUGGAGUGGAGAAGAAGGCCGUUUCAAUGAGAAGUUGAACAAAUAAUGAUUUUGAUGUGUGAAUUGGAUGAUAUAGAGCUGAAUAGAGAAGGGGGAGAUAUAUGGUCGUGGAAAGAAGAGGAGGCUGAUGUUUAUACGGUAAUUUCAGCUUACAAUAAACUUCUAAAUGAUGUUAUGGGUAAACUUCUAAAUGAUGUUUAUUAAAUCACUUCCUUCUAUACAAGUCCUAACUUGAAGAGUGUUGUAAAACAGGGUGACCACAAAAGUUAAUCUGAAUAGAAGAGGAUUAUAGUUACAAAGUCUAUUGUGUGUCAUGUGUGGC
rnacentral:lncRNA from 1 species